GUUUGCCACCGCCUCUGAAACUAUGUUGACUCUACUCUCGCUAAAUCCUGUUUGAACACGACCGCUGCUUUUUAUUUACCUUGAAGAAGUGGAGGCUCCACAUCUGGAAAAUGUGCUUCUUUGCCCUGAGCAGGUAUACACCAUCCAUCCAUCCAUCCAUCUUCUUCCGCUUAUCCGAGGUCGGUCGCGGGGGCAGCAGCCUAAGCAGAGAAGCCCAGACUUCCCUCUCCCCAGCCACUCCGUCCAGCUCCUCCCGGGGGAUCUCGAGGCGUUCCCAGGCCAGCCGGGAGACGUAGUCUUCCCAACGUGUCCUGGGUCUUCUCCGUGGCCUCGAACGUGCCCUAGGUGUUCGGGUGGCAUCCUGACCAGAUGCCCGAACCACCUGAUCUGGCUCCUCUCCACGUGGAGGAGAACAUUCCUCAUUUUUUGAACGCCCCCCGCAGCAUUCCAAUAUAAUAUUUAGCAGAUCACUUGCAGACUGGUCAUAGUCCAAGGCCACGGCGCGGCCAUGCUGGUCCAAGUAGUACCCGG